rnacentral:rRNA from 1 species
UACGUAGGUGGCAAGCGUUGUCCGGAUUUACUGGGCGUAAAGGGCGUGCAGGCGGUUUGUUAAGUGCAGGGUGAAAGCUCCCGGCUCAACUGGGAGAGGUCCUUGCAUACUGGCAAACUCGAGGGAGGCAAAGGAAAGUGGAAUUCCCGGUGUAGUGGUGAUAUGCGUAGAUAUCUGGAGGAAUACCGGUGGCGAAGGCGGCAUCCUGGACCAUUACUGACGCUGAGGCGCGAAAGCUAGGGGAGCAAACGGG